rnacentral:rRNA from 1 species
AGAGUUUGAUCCUGGCUCAGGACGAACGCUGGCGGCGUGCUUAACACAUGCAAGUCGAACGGAAAGGCCCCUUCGGGGGUACUCGAGUGGCGAACGGGUGAGUAACACGUGGGUGAUCUGCCCUGCACUUUGGGAUAAGCCUGGGAAACUGGGUCUAAUACCGAAUAGGACCGCAUGCUUCAUGGUGUGUGGUGGAAAGCUUUUGCGGUGUGGGAUGGGCCCGCGGCCUAUCAGCUUGUUGGUGGGGUAAUGGCCUACCGAGGCGACGACGGGUAGCCGGCCUGAGAGGGUGUCCGGCCACACUGGGACUGAGAUACGGCCCAGACUCCUACGGGAGGCAGCAGUGGGGAAUAUUGCACAAUGGGCGCAAGCCUGAUGCAGCGACGCCGCGUGGGGGAUGACGGCCUUCGGGUUGUAAACCUCUUUCAGUAUCGGCGAAGCUCCAGGAUUUUUCUUGGGGUGACGGUAGGUACAGAAGAAGCACCGGCCAACUACGUGCCAGCAGCCGCGGUAAUACGUAGGGUGCGAGCGUUGUCCGGAAUUACUGGGCGUAAAGAGCUCGUAGGUGGUUUGUCACGUUGUCUGUGAAAACUCACAGCUUAACUGUGGGCGUGCGGGCGAUACGGGCAGACUGGAGUACUGUAGGGGAGACUGGAAUUCCUGGUGUAGCGGUGGAAUGCGCAGAUAUCAGGAGGAACACCGGUGGCGAAGGCGGGUCUCCGGGCAGUAACUGACGCUGAGGAGCGAAAGCGUGGGGAGCGAACAGGAUUAGAUACCCUGGUAGUCCAA